CGCAGAGUAAACUUGAGAUAAUGCAGCAUUUGCUCAUAUUUAUGAGCAAAUGCUGCAUUUUCUCAAGUUAAGUUA
rnacentral:miRNA from 1 species